GAAUAGAGGGAGGCCGAGGAAGACUCAUGUGUGAGGAACUUUCGAGGCAGUUCUGGAGGAUAUCGGUGAACUGAGAAGGAAGAAUAAGACCCAUGCUGAAACAUUGUAACGUUUGGGGGUUGAAUUUGUAGGUAUUGUUGUAGUUGUUAAUUGUUUUCAUGCACUGACUAGCACAUAGGUGAUCAUUGUAACACUAUGAUAUAUAUUAAGCCAAUGUCAAGUCAGCAAGUUCUUUCACC